GUAUUUUCCGCUUUACGAGUUGUAAGUUUUUCCUCUGAUGCGGUGUGGCCUCUUCCAAAUAUGUGUCUUCUUCAUAUCCCCAAUACAAGUUCACUUUCUUUCCCUCCUAUGGCUUCACCGCCGACAAUUAACCUUAUCUGAGUAGUCUUCUCCAGCAUACCCAUCGGAGAUCCCUGCUAUUCUUAGAAUAUCACAGCUAACAGAACUUGAAGACGAUUGUUGCAAAAUAGGUCAAAUUAGGGUUUGUAUUUUUUUUUUGGAAAAAAUAGAGGUUAUGAGCACCUCCGUACAAUUUCCGGAAUAAAAAAACGUGACCACCAUCUUCAAUCAAACAAAGCACACGAUGACGACGAACAAAGGGCUGAUUAGGCAAAUUUGAGUACAAGAAGGAGUUUGACUUCAAUGAAAGAAGAAUUUCUUAAGAAGUUGAGUGGUCAUACAAACCUUUAAUGUGAAAGUAUAAGCUAUAGUGAAUCCACAAGCAUUGUUGUGAUAAUGGACAAUCUAAAUCUUUACAUUGUCAUGAUUCUGUUUUCAAGAGGGUCUCUUGCUUAGAUAAAAUGUCUGGCACAUUACACUCAAUGGGAUACAAGAUAACGUAAAAGAUUUCACUUCAAAAAUGUUCCAAUAAUCUGGUAAAUGGAAGAGGCAAAACAACAAGAUCAGUGUCAUGUUUCAAUUGCAGUUUCAAGCUACCCAGGUCUAAUAUAAGUAUUCAGACUUCUUUAAAAAAAACAAUACCUUUAUAGCAUAAAUGGAACAGGAAAAAGUUUAGCAUAAACGGAGCUCUUAGAUGCUCAGGAGUGACAAGAUGAAUAAAGUGGUGAAGAGUUGCAAUAUGCACUUUCUAUAAUGAAGUUAAGAGACGGAGAGAUAUGUUGGUGGCUUGGAUGUUAGAAGUUCAUGAUUUUUCAAAUUGUUUCGAGCAACUAGAUUAGAUGUUGUUACAAUAAGGAGGAUGCAUUCGUAUAUGUUGCGUAGGGAUGAGCUUGGUACCGAUCAGUACCGGUAUCGAAAAUACCGGUACGGUACAGUUUGGUACCGGUAAAUACCCGUACAGGACCGGCACCGAAAACGUCAAAAGUUGGUAGCAAAUUGGUACCGAAAUAUAUUUUCGGUUCGAAAAAUUCGGUACCAGUACUCGGUACUGUUUGCUCAUCUCUUUGCGUGUUAAUUUGUAAGCCCCGGACGCAUCGCGGCAGGGAGGCUUCCUUCUAGUUUACUCAAAUAAGAAACAAUAUCUAAUGUUUCCAUCGGUGAUAUUUGCAUGAGUCCCGUAUAAAUGAAUUUUUUUUC
rnacentral:lncRNA from 1 species